GACGAACGCUGGCGGCGCGCUUAACACAUGCAAGUCGAACGGAAAGGCCUGCUUUCCCUUGUGGAUUGCGGGUACUCGAGUGGCGAACGGGUGAGUAACACGUGAGUGAUCUGCCCCCAACUUGGGUAUAAGCCUGGGAAACUGGGUCUAAUUCCCGAUAGGACUGCAGGGUGGUGCCUGUGGUGGAAAACGAUUUUCUAGUGGUUGGGGAUGAGCUCGCGGCCUAUCAGCUUGUUGGUGGGGUAAUGGCCUACCAAGGCGGCGACGGGUAGCCGGCCUGAGAGCGUGGACGGCGACAUUGGGACUGGGAUACGGCCCAGACUCCUACGGGAGGCAGCAGUGGGGAAUAUUGCACAAUGGGCGGAAGCCUGAUGCAGCGACGCCGCGUGGGGGAUGACGGCCUUCGGGUUGUAAACUCCUUUCGACCGCGAGGAAGCCACCUGGUUGGAAGGGUGGUGACGGUAGUGGUAGAAGAAGCACCGGCUAACUACGUG
rnacentral:rRNA from 1 species